AAUCAACGCUGGCGGCGUGCCUCAGACAUGCAAGUCGAACGAUUAAGACUCCCUUCGGGGAGUGCAUAAAGUGGCGCACGGGUGAGUAACACGUAAGUAAUCUACCUUUGAGUGGGGAAUAACAACCGGAAACGGUUGCUAAUACCGCAUAAUGCAGCGGCACCGCAAGGUGACAGUUGUUAAAGAUUUAUCGCUUAAAGAGGAGCUUGCGGCAGAUUAGCUAGUUGGUAAGGUAAUGGCUUACCAAGGCUACGAUCUGUAACCGGUCUAAGAGGACGGUCGGUCACACUGACACUGAAUAACGGGUCAGACUCCUACGGGAGGCAGCAGUGGGGAAUCUUGCGCAAUGGGCGAAAGCCUGACGCAGCGACGCCGCGUGAGGGAAGAAGGCCCUAGGGUUGUAAACCUCUUUCAGGUGGGACGAAGCCACUCGGGUGAAUAGCCCAGAGGGUGACGGUACCUCCAGAAGAAGCCCCGGCUAACUAC
rnacentral:rRNA from 1 species